AAGCAGGAAGAGGAAGCUGAGUGUUUGAUUGUGUGUAGGAGCCAAACACUGAUCAGAACUUCACCAGAUUACCCCUCCUAAUAACAAAUUAUGUCAUGAGCAUGGAAAUAUGUGACAAACGGCACAACUAUGAGAAGUCACGUUAAGGAAUGCGAAUGGAGAGCUGUGUCAUCCAGCUUUGAUGAUUUAAGCCAAGGAGAGAGGAACACUGAUUUAUUUUUCCAGCUGAAGACCCCAGGAAGCUGGUCCUUUCUGGAGAACACUGACCCACACCAGAGCAUGGACCUCUGCUCUGUCAAGACUGCACCAAUCAGAACAGGCUACGCACUGGAAAACAAGUCAUGGCCUUAAAGCUGCACUUGUCGAUAUUUUCAUAUUAACAAUGGGUCAAAUGAGGAAUAUCACAAGAAUCACUGAACCCACAGAGAAUUACCACAAGAUCUGCAGUUCCCUCAGAUUGUCCCAGUGAGCCAUGACAGUGUGACAGUGAGCCAGCACGCACAAUACCAGGACCCUGAAACCAAAGCAGCUAAAUUCAACCCUCAUUUGAUGCAUUAUUUACAACUGUGCAUUUCCUACCGUCUUCUGUGAAAAAUACACAUCCACCUCUUUUUCAGCAGCAGGCAACUAUUUUCACCCUCUAGGCUGCUCAUCACUGGCUGGUGAACAGGAGUUGGUGGAAACCAAAACAGAGCUAAAAGGAAAGAGACUAUUUGACAAUAUGAAUACUAAUGUUGCUGUUUGCAAGCCAUACCAACUUUAUAUGGACAUACUACGUGAUGUCCAGCUUGUUGUGGAUUUCUGCCUCUAAAGCCUUGAAUAUACUUCAUAGCGGAUGCGUACACUGACCGCUGCGGACACCACAGACGAGGGGUACUUCUGUUUGUACUACUUUCUGGAGCCAGCUUGGAGGACU